ensembl:lncRNA
CAUGAGGCACUGUGUGGAUUGUAAAAUCCAGUCUCAUUUUGCCACUCCCUUUGGCUUUUUCUUUUAGCUCAUCUUUAAAUCAUAUCCUACAGUGGUCCUGUCUGUCUGAUCUUGGUGAAACAAUUGCAAAUAUCUGGCCCAUUCAUUUUGUCUAGAGUUAGUGCAGAAGAAUUCUGUGUAAAUUUAUUCAGAAGUGACAAGAGGGCUGAGGAUUUAGCUCAGUGGUUCCGCCACCUGUCUCACAAGCGCAGGGUCCCAAGUUUGAUCCCUGGUACCAAAAAAAGAAGUGACAAGAGCAGAUAAUUAUGUUUGAUCACUAUAUUUUCAAGAUAAAAUUCAGAAUACAGGUCUGAUGUAUUAUGUGUCUAAUACUUUUUCUUUACCUUCAUUGGUUAGAAUCAAACAUUUCAAACCCUAGAACAAGAUAUGGAUAGGGAAAUCUAAGUAAAUCUGCGGACCUAAGAGCCAAAACACGGGGUUGGAGCUAGAACUCAGCACAGCACUGGCUAACCAUGCUCAAGACUUUGGGUUCAAGCCCUAGCACUGAAAAAAAGAUUAAGCCAAAGCAUUUGAAAUGACAUAAAGCCUUAGAUGUGCCCCAUCGUAUUCCAUUUACUCCUUUAACUCCAUUGCCUCCAGUUCACUCAACUCUGACCACAACUAAACUACCUGAUGGUCUUAAACACAGUGGUGUGAUGAUAAAUGUUUUCAAUGAGCACUCCAGAGUAAAAGUCCUGAAUUUUAGUUGACUUCCAUGUUAUAUGUACUACCAUGGAAAAUUUCAAGCAACUGAUGUCACAGAUUGUAGAGUUGUAGAGAUUUAUAGUAGCCCACCAUUAUAUACUACUUCAUGUACGUACCAUUGAUAUAAAAAACCUCAAGGGCACAGAUAAUAAGGAUAAUAUAAUUAAGAAGUUAUGAAUUUUGAGUAUUACCUUUCUUUUAAAUGAUUUGAUAGUGAAUUUAUAUAUGUUAAUUUUAAAAAUAAUGUCUGGGGCCUAAACAUGUAGCUCAAUGGCACAGCACCUGCCUGGCAAGUGAAAGGUCCUGAGUUCCAUCCCCAGUACCGAAAAUAAAAUAAAUAAAUAAAAUAAUUACUGUUUGAGGACCAGCUUGCAAAAUUCUUGAAUAUUUAACCCCCAGGAUCAAGGAUGAGCUAGUCCUAGCCCUUCACUGUAAGUAAUACUGUAUCAAAUCUGCCCCUGACCCAAGGGUUUUGGUUUUCCAUCUUCAUGGAAAACUCUUCUCAAAUCCUUGUGGGAACAUUCUUUCACCUCCUUUAAAAACUGUUCUAUUAGGUACUCUGAUUUUUGUUUGUUUGUUUGUUUUUAGCCUCACUAAGUAGUGGCCUCAAAAUCACAGUGAUCCUCUUGCCUUGGCCACUGGAGUGCUGGGGUUGCAGGGAUCGAACUCGGGACCUUGCGCUUGUGAGGCAGGCACUUGAACCACUAAGCUAAAUCCCCGACCCCAUGACUGUAUUUCUUUGGAGAAAGAUGAUUGGCUGCAGAGGAGAAUUGAGUACAAGAAUGGAGAGAGAUAAGAGAUGAGAGAAUAAUUAGCAGGUGCCAUGAACUGUUUCUCCUCUGCGACAUCCCUCUGCCAUGUGCCACUCUGUCUUGGAGCCAGCUGAUUAUGGACUGAAACCUCUACAAACUGGUCUCAUUAUGUAGUUCAGGCUGGCCUUGAACUUGUACCCUAGGCUGACCUUGAACUUGCAGCAAUCCUCCUGCCUCAGCCUGCCUAGUGCUGGGAUUACAGUCUCUUCCCAACAGGAUCUACAUUCUACGACAGUAGACUUCCGUCUGUUUUGCUCACUGUAUCCUGUGUAUAGCACAGUGCCUGGCUCAGAGUAGAUUCGACAAAUAUUUGUUGAAGGAAUGAAUGAAUAUAUGAGUGAAAAGCCACUCAGCUGAUAAAUGGUGGAGGGAUACAUGCCAAACUAUUUAUAGAAGAUGUGACAAGGAAUCUGAGAUUUUCCUCAACAUAAUGCUGGAAGUGAGGAG